UAGCGAAGGGUGCAAGCGUUUAAUCGGAAGUUACUGGGCGUAAAGGGUGCGUAGGCGGUUGUUUAAGUCUGCCGUGAAAUCCCCGGGCUCACCUGGAAUGGCGGUGGAUACUGGAUAGCUAGAGUGUGUCAGAGGAUGGUGGAAUUCCGGUGUAGCGGUGAAAUGCGCAGAUAUCAGGAGGAACACCGGUGGCGAAGGCGGGUCUCUGGGCCGUAACUGACGCUGAGGAGCGAAAGCGUGGGGAGCGAACAGG
rnacentral:rRNA from 1 species